rnacentral:rRNA from 1 species
AUGAACGCUAGCUACAGGCUUAACACAUGCAAGUCGAGGGGCAGCAUGGUCUUAGCUUGCUUUUUCUAGGCGUCGACCGGCGCACGGGUGAGUAACGCGUAUCCAACCUGCCCAUCACUUGGGGAUAACCUUGCGAAAGUAAGACUAAUACCCAAUGAUAUCUCUAGAAGACAUCUGAAAGAGAUUAAAGAUUUAUCGGUGAUGGAUGGGGAUGCGUCUGAUUAGCUUGUUGGCGGGUAACGGCCCACCAAGGCGACGAUCAGUAGGGGUUCUGAGAGGAAGGUCCCCCACAUUGGAACUGAGACACGGUCCAAACUCCUACGGGAGGCAGCAGUGAGGAAUAUUGGUCAAUGGACGAGAGUCUGAACCAGCCAAGUAGCGUGCAGGAUGACGGCCCUAUGGGUUGUAAACUGCUUUUAUAAGGGAAUAAAGUGAGUCUCGUGAGGCUUUUUGCAUGUACCUUAUGAAUAAGGACCGGCUAAUUCCGUG